rnacentral:rRNA from 1 species
UACGUAGGCAGCAAGCGUUGUUCGGAAUUACUGGGCGUAAAGAGUGUGUAGGCGGUGCUCUAAGUUCGGUGUGAAAUCUCCCGGCUCAACUGGGAGGGUGCGCCGGAAACUGGAAUGCUUGAGCGUGGGAGAGGAAAGCGGAAUUCCUGGUGUAGCGGUGAAAUGUGUAGAUAUCAGGAGGAACACCUGCGGUGUAGACGGCUUUCUGGACCAUUGCUGACGCUGAGACACGAAAGCGUGGGUAGCAAACAGG